CAGGGCUAUCUCCGCUCCCAGGUGGUAAUAUGAUUUUAAUAUGCACCCAUGUGCAAGUCUUUAUGGGAAAUGGGGAAGUUCAUCCUGGGCAGCAGCGGCUAAAUUGCCUGACGGGUUGGAAGAGAAUAAGGAAUGGGGAUACAAAUGCAAGGAUAAAACAAGCAGCAUUCAGAGGUGUUGAACUUCCCACAGAUUUCCCCCUCAUCAGCGAGAAGGUAAUCUACUGCCAGUCGGAGUUGGUACACCACUGUUCGGGUCUGGGAGAGUUGGUCACUUAUAUGAUCAAGGGCCAGGGCUGUUUUGUUUGAUGUUAUUUCAAUUACAGCUUGGAGCCUGAUUAUUCUGUUUAACAUGUAUAUUGGGGUCCUAUAUCCCCAGGACCCAUCCUGGGCCCAGGUCACUGGCCCAUAAGUUCUUAUUAUUUCCUCCAGGGUCCAGACUGUUCCUUUCCAAUUCUGGGUCCCUCCUGUGCUUAUUACACUCCUCUUCUUCCUUUUUAGGGGCCUCUUUAGGUUGUCAUAUAGUGGUACUCCAAGCUCUGAGCCAAUCUCUUUUGGGAGCAGGAAGAAAGCUGGCUUUAUCACCCCAAUUGUGCAGCUACCUGACCAGUCUCCUGGUAGAUGUGUAUAAGCUGCAUCCUCGCAGAUCCAAAAGAAAUCAUCUGGGGCUUCCCAAAAACCCUCCCUGUCUUCAUAGGGGUACUCCCAAUGCUUCUAAUUCCCCAGAAGGGAUUGAUCCCUUUUUCUGCACAUUCAUAAAGGUUAUAUCCUUUGUGAUGAAUGCACCCUUUUUCCCU